UUACGUGCUGUACAUUGAUACGGUUUAAAUUAAUUCCACAGCAGGCAGUAAACAAUGACGAGUAUGACGGCAUCGCAAAAAAAAAACGGGCGUAUCGCAUUUGUUUGUUGCGGUGCAUUUCUCCUCAAGCAGGUUGGUAUUUAAGAUCAAACAAGAUCUGCCAGCUUGUUCCGUAUUCAUUAGGCUGCUGUAGCUGUAGAACCAGAUCAGCGCCAGCGAGACGAGAAGUGUGUUCCGGUUGUAUAAACCAGCUUUUGCUGGGAUUGAUUAACGGUGCAGCGGCAAUUACCCGAUCUAUAGCUUAUCGUUCUGUUGCUCUUACUGAUGAUGAUGCAAAUAUUGAAUCACGAAUGUAGGUUGAUUCUGGAAAUAAUUUCACCACACAGGUUCUCAUCAUUUCUUGGCUUAUUUAUGACCUCAUGCAGUCGUUAUAAGGAACUGUUUGUAUACUUCUUCACAAAGUUUUUCAGUAGAUUAUCAGAAAGAAAUUAUCAAUUGAAGUCUAUUGAUGUAAAAUACGAAUUCUCAACAUUUUCAUAUUUAAUCAAUCUGGUUUAAUUUUAUGAGUUGUUGCUAACAAACCCAAAUAAGCAAUAAACCUCUGCAUUGGAAUGCAGCAUUGCGCUGCACAGUCCAAGAGAAAUUCUGCCAUAGCUAGUAUCGCACACCCAGUUUGUAAUUAAUGGCCGUUGUAUACCGACCAUGCACAGCAGGUUUUCCACAACUGGUCUAAGAUCGACGAAUUCGGUUGCCGCCACCCCGUCGUUACCGCCAUAUAUCGUGAAUGAGUUAUUAUUGCUAUCAUACCUAUCGGAGAGCAGAAUACGCAACGGGGCCAGCAACACUAACUCAAUACUUUACGAUUCUGACGAUCGGAGAACAGCGAAAUCGUGAUACUGCCGCAGGGAAGAGCUUUGGAAGCGAAUGUGGUUUUAUUUUUAUCACGUUUUAAAUGCAGUACGCUGAAUAUAGAACAAACGUCACUUUGAAUAGCAAGUAGGAACAUUUCUUUAGAAAUCGGUAUAGGAGCGUACGUCUAGGCGAAUGACAACAACACGGCAACCGAGACCGGUGGCGACAAACGACCGGUAAAUCGUGUGGGAAUUUGUAAUCGUCACACUAAGUAGAUAUUCUACGCAUUCUAGAACACAAGGUAGAAGUAGUUCGCAUUGCAUUAUGGCACAACAGCAAGUGUCUGUGCCCUCUAGGAAAAGAUAGAACAGCUCGUGGAAGCAGACACUGUACUGGCGCCCAGCGUUAGGGAAGAGGAAGAGUUGGCGUAUGAUGGAUCAAGCAUUAUUUUCUACGAUACCUCUGAGUUCUUCAGAUUUACGAACGUUCUCCAGCAAAAUCAAAUUAAUUGGAAUUGGGAUAGGAAUUGCAAGCAACUUCAUAAUUCAUAUUGAUAUUUUCUAACAUUCAUUCGUCUGAAAAAUAUUUACUAAAUUAAAAUAUAUGGGAAAGACUGAAGUGAAAAUGCAUUUUUAUAAUAAAACAGAACAAAAUACAUUUUUUAAAUAAUGUGGAGGUCUUCAGUUAGCGAAGACACAGGAUUGUCAAAUAGGAGAAGGCGAGUAAGAUAAGACUCUUGAUCCAACCUAGAAUGUUUUUGGGUAAGGAUCAUUCACAAUUCUAUGGAAAUUAUGUAUCCAAUCCAUUGUGUAGCAACAAUUUACAAAUUUACAUUUUUUUUGUAUCUUUAUUCAACUGCUUUUAACCCACGGCUCUCUACUAAGAAAAUUUGUUUUACUACAUACCUAUGCAAUGAGGGCAUUCAGAAGCCUGUCCAAACAAAAAGGUCCACUGAAACAACGUUUACUCUUUCAAAUUUUUUAUCGAUUAAAUUGGACAUUUAUCACAGUCUGUUUGAUAUUAGAUUCAGCCCUGUCACGGCUGAGCACAUGACAAUCCAUAUUCAUGGAGUGGUAAAUAAUGCAAUUCCCAUCAGCAAAGCAUGAAUGUUCAGUAAGCCAUUUAACAAUUUCCACUUAUUUCGUGCUCAAAUACGGCUAUCGACCUGGAGUCAUUAAUUUUCUGCACUGGUACCCGCGUGGUCUAAUCUAUUCAAAUUCGAUACUGAUGUGCCAUGUAGGCAGCAGGAAACACAAUAAGGAAAUCUGAAACCGCUUCUCGCGUUUUCUCUCACCCCCGCUCCCAUCGCACAACAAACCAACUGACACAGAAAUUAUGCAUUUAUGAUAAACAAACACAAUCGCCGCCGGUUCGUGAAUCCCCCCAUGGUUAUCCAAAUGUCUGCCACAUCUCUUCUAUGGCUAUCCAAACGGAUACAUUUUUAUGAAACGACUCACGAUCGCCACCGCCAUACUCGGCCGAACGGGCACUAUUCGUCGUCCUCCCCUAAUUGGUAUUCAUAAAGAUAUGGCCAAUUAAUAUCGUGCUACAGCAAACUGUAAAGCAAAUUUAGGUUUCACGUCACAAGUAUACCUUGGAACUAUUUAAACACUUUCGCUAACCGGGCAAAUGUCACAAACAAGCGCAACAAUUGUAGCACAAAUGGUAAUAUGCUUUUGCGACAACUUUAUUGAAUUAUUAUCAUCGUGCACAUCUACAGGACCAUCUCGUCGAUUGCUAUUGAUUUAUUCGUGUGGGAAAGACGACGAGCCGGAACCGAGUAGGAUGAUUCAUUUCAUCACAUUUCCAUGUGAGAUUUGCGUGGAUGCAAGGAUCUCCGUUCGACGAUUGCAACAAUGUUACCGAAUGGAACCAGUUUUGCCCAUAUACAUAGGAGUUUGCGUCGUCGAGCGUUCACGAUAAGAUUCAUUGAAAAAUUGACAUUUCUUAGCCACUUGACACAAUGGCAUAAAACAUUGAGCUUAGGAUAUAUCGCUCUCGUUUUCCGUUGGUGGUUAUGUUGCUUUCUCGGACGCCCAUAGGAAAAUAAACCAUCAUCGUUGUAUGUAGAUUUAUGAGCUGAUUGAAAUAAGAUUCGCUAAUAUCCACCCUUUCCAGGUGCAGUUUGAUUCGCAAGUGAAUGAUCUCAUACAGCGAUACAAAGUGGGCGAACAUAUCGUUUACCGAAGGUUGCACCUGUUGCAUACUGUUGUUCGAUUUUGUGUCUUGCUUGACAGGUGCACGUAAACCGUUGAACUUCAACCGCUAUCCCCAUGGAAAUGGAACUUAAUAUAUUCUGCAUGUAAAAGAGGGCAGAUGCUCGAUCACACAUUGUAAAAUAAUGCAUAAAUAAUCUAAAAGUUUUUUUUUUUCGAUAACUUUCCAAACGUUUUGCGUUCUUCCACGCUAAUGAAUUUCCUAUUGUUUAUAACCAAAAAGGUAUAG